CACCGCGGUUAUACGAGAGGCCCUAGUUGAUAACUACCGGCGUAAAGAGUGGUUUUGGAAAAAUAUUUAAUAAAGCCGAACACCCCCUCAGCCGUCAUACGCACCUGGGAGCACGAAGACCUACUGCGAAAGCAGCUUUAACUAUGCCUGACCCCACGACAGCUAAGAAA
rnacentral:rRNA from 1 species